CCUACGGGCGGCAGCAGUGGGGAAUAUUGGACAAUGGGGGGAACCCUGAUCCAGCGACGCCGCGUGAGUGAAGAAGUAUUUCGGUAUGUAAAGCUCUAUCAGCAGGGAAGAAAGAAAUGACGGUACCUGACUAAGAAGCCCCGGCUAACUACGUGCCAGCAGCCGCGGUAAUACGUAGGGGGCAAGCGUUAUCCGGAUUUACUGGGUGUAAAGGGAGCGUAGACGGUUACGCAAGUCUGGAGUGAAAGGCGGGGGCCCAACCCCCGGACUGCUUUGGAAACUGUAUAACUGGAGUACAGGAGAGGUAAGCGGAAUGCCUAGUGUAGCGGUGAAAUGCGUAGAUAUUAGGAGGAACACCAGUGGCGAAGGCGGCUUACUGGACUGUAACUGACGUUGAGGCUCGAAAGCGUGGGGAGCAAACAGGAUUAGAUACCCCUGUAGUC
rnacentral:rRNA from 1 species